rnacentral:rRNA from 1 species
CUGAAUCCAUAGGUUAAUGAGGCGAACCGGGGGAACUGAAACAUCUAAGUACCCCGAGGAAAAGAAAUCAACCGAGAUUCCCCCAGUAGCGGCGAGCGAACGGGGAGGAGCCCAGAGCCUGAAUCAGUGUGUGUGUUAGUGGAAGCGUCUGGAAAGGCGCGCGAUACAGGGUGACAGCCCCGUACACAAAAAUGCACAUACUGUGAGCUCGAUGAGUAGGGCGGGACACGUGGUAUCCUGUCUGAAUAUGGGGGGACCAUCCUCCAAGGCUAAAUACUCCUGACUGACCGAUAGUGAACCAGUACCGUGAGGGAAAGGCGAAAAGAACCCCGGCGAGGGGAGUGAAAAAGAACCUGAAACCGUGUACGUACAAGCAGUGGGAGCCUCUUAAUGGGGUGACUGCGUACCUUUUGUAUAAUGGGUCAGCGACUUAUAUUCUGUAGCAAGGUUAACCGAAUAGGGGAGCCGAAGGGAAACCGAGUCUUAACUGGGCGUUAAGUUGCAGGGUAUAGACCCGAAACCCGGUGAUCUAGCCAUGGGCAGGUUGAAGGUUGGGUAACACUAACUGGAGGACCGAACCGACUAAUGUUGAAAAAUUAGCGGAUGACUUGUGGCUGGGGGUGAAAGGCCAAUCAAACCGGGAGAUAGCUGGUUCUCCCCGAAAGCUAUUUAGGUAGCGCCUCGUGAAUUCAUCUCCGGGGGUAGAGCACUGUUUCGGCAAGGGGGUCAUCCCGACUUACCAACCCGAUGCAAACUGCGAAUACCGGAGAAUGUUAUCACGGGAGACACACGGCGGGUGCUAACGUCCGUCGUGAAGAGGGAAACAACCCAGACCGCCAGCUAAGGUCCCAAAGUCAUGGUUAAGUGGGAAACGAUGUGGGAAGGCCCAGACAGCCAGGAUGUUGGCUUAGAAGCAGCCAUCAUUUAAAGAAAGCGUAAUAGCUCACUGGUCGAGUCGGCCUGCGCGGAAGAUGUAACGGGGCUAAACCAUGCACCGAAGCUGCGGCAGCGACACUAUGUGUUGUUGGGUAGGGGAGCG